UACGUAGGGUGCGAGCGUUGCCCGGAAUUAUUGGGCGUAAAGAGCUCGUAGGCGGUGUGUCACGUCGGCCGUGAAAGCCUGGGGCUUAACUCUGGGCGUGCGGUCGAUACGGGCAUCACUAGAGUUCGGCAGGGGAGACUGGAAUUCCUGGUGUAGCGGUGAAAUGCGCAGAUAUCAGGAAGAACACCUAUGGCGAAGGCAGCUCUCUGGGACGGUACUGACGCUGAGACGCGAAAGCGUGGGGAGCGAACAGG
rnacentral:rRNA from 1 species